AUGAAGUGCUUUGAGAGACUAGUCAAGGACCAUAUCACCUCCACCCUACCUGACACCCUAGACCCACUCCAAUUUGCUUACCGCCCAAAUAGGUCCACAGACGAUGCAAUCUCAACCCCACUGCACACUGCCCUAACCCAUCUGGACAAGAGGAAUACCUAUGUGAGAAUGCUGUUCAUCGACUACAGCUCAGCAUUUAACACCAUAGUACCCUCCAAACUCGUCAUCAAGCUCGAGACCCUGGGCCUUGACCCCGCCCUGUGCAACUGGCUACUGGACUUCCUGGCGGGCCACCCCCAGGUGGUGAGGGUAGGUAACAACAUCUCCACCCCGCUGAUUCUCAACACUGGGGCCCCACAAAGGUGCGUUCUGAGCCCUCUCCUGUACUCCCUGUUCACCCACGACUGCAUGGCCAUGCACGCCUCCAACUCAAUCAUCAAGUUUGCAGACGACACUACAGUGGUAGGCUUGAUUACCAACAACGACGAGACGGCCUACAGGGAGGAGGUGAGGGCCCUCGGAGUGUGGUGUCAGGAAAAUAACCUCACACUCAACGUCAACAAAACUAAGGAGAUGAUUGUGGACUUCAGGAAACAGCAGAGGGAGCACCCCCCUAUCCACAUCAAUGGGACAGUAGUGGAGAGGGUAGUAAGUUUUAAGUUCCUCGGCGUACACAUCACAGACAAACUGAAUUGGUCCACCCGCACAGACAGCAUCGUGAAGAAGGCGCAGCAGCGCCUCUUCAACCUCAGGAGGCUGAAGAAAUUCGGCUUGUCACCAAAAGCACACACAAACUUCUACAGAUGCACAAUCGAGAGCAUCCUGUCGGGCUGUAUCACCGCCUGGUACGGCAACUGCUCCGCCCACAACCGUAAGGCUCUCCAGAGGGUAGUGAGGUCUGCACAACGCAUCACCGGGGGCAAACUACCUGCCCUCCAGGACACCUACACCACCCAAUGUCACAGGAAAUUCCAUAAAGAUCAUCAAGGACAACAACCACCCGAGCCACUGCCUGUUCACCCCGUUAUCAUCCAGAAGGCGAGGUCAGUACAGGUGCAUCAAAGCAGAGACCGAGAGACUGAAAAACAGCUUCUAUCUCAAGGCCAUCAGACUGUUAAACAGCCACCACUAACAUUGAGUGGCUGCUGUCAACACACUGACUCAACUAAAGCCACUUUAAUAAUGGGAAUUGAUGGGAAUUGA
ensembl:lncRNA